rnacentral:lncRNA from 1 species
UGCCACCUUUGCUUCUCCUGGCCCUCUGCCAUGAUUAUGAGGCCUCCCCAGCCAUGCGGGACGGAUGAAUAAGUGGAAGCCACCAGAACCUGGAUUUCAACCUGCAGGAAUUACCUUGUAGGAUAUAGAGCUCCCAGGAUGGAAUGGGCUGUCUCAGAGGAACUGAAUGCUGAUUCACUCAACAAAUAUUUUUGAGCUAUGGAGCAACCCCCAAACUAGGGAACACAAUUAUCAAUGUCCAAGAUGGACUUCUUCCAUCACCUGGGUACCUGUUUUGAUUGCUGUAACUUUUGAAAUCAGAAAACUCACGCUACCUGACUUCAAACUAUACUACAAGGCUACAGUAACCAAA